UGUGGCGAUGAAGUGUAAAGAUCGAAUGCACGAGAUAGUGAAAAAUGAGGUGGAGAAGGAAGAAACUCAAUGGAAAGAAGCAAUGAUUCAGAGCUUUUCGUUAAUGGAUAAAGAAGUUGUUAAUUAUUCUACUAGCGUACUUCCAUCUUCUACCUCAGGUUCCAAUUGUAGAUGCGAGCUUCAAACUCCACAGUGCGAUGCCGUUGGAUCAACUGCCGUCGUUGCCGUUGUAACUCCGGACAAAAUCAUCGUUUCCAAUUGCGGUGAUUCUCGUGCCGUCCUCUGUAGAAACGGCGUCGCUAUUCCUCUUUCCGUUGAUCAUAAGCCGGAUCGACCUGAUGAAUUGAAUAGAAUACAAGAAGCUGGUGGCCGUGUUAUAUAUUGGGACGGAGCUAGAGUUCUCGGCGUUUUAGCAAUGUCUCGAGCCAUUGGUGACAAUUAUUUGAAACCAUAUGUUAUAUCUGAACCGGAGGUCACUAUAACAGAUCGAACCGACGAAGAUGAGUGUUUGAUAUUAGCCAGUGAUGGAUUAUGGGACGUGGUAUCGAACGAGACCGCGUGUGGCGUGGCACGUAUGUGUUUGCAAUCGAGACGGCCACCGUCUCCGGCGGGAUCGCCGGGAAAUGAUAUUACGGUGACCGGCGCCGGAGAAAGCUCCGACAAGGCGUGUUCAGAUGCAUCAAUUCUAUUGACGAAAUUAGCCUUGGCUAGGCAUAGUAGUGAUAAUGUUAGUGUUGUUGUGGUGGAUUUGAGAAAAAAUCUAUAACAGUAUGGGUGCUUAAUUAGUACUAGUUUUAAUCAUAAUUAAUUAAUUAAGUGUAUAAUUAAGGGGAAACUCUAAUUUUAGGUUUUAAUUGUCAUGGGUUUAGCUAAUGAAGCUAAGAUUGAAGAUGGUUUGAUUUAUUAGUUUAGCUGAUUUAGCUGCCUUUGUUGAUGAUUA
rnacentral:misc_RNA from 1 species